rnacentral:rRNA from 1 species
AAAAACAUAGCCUUAUGUUAUUUAAUAUAAGGUGGUUUCUGCUCAAUGAUUUAAUUAAAUAGCCGCAGUACCCUGACUGUGCAAAGGUAGCAUAAUAAGUUGUCUUUUAAUUGAGGUCAUGAAUGAAGGAAAUAACGGGGAAAUACUGUCUUCAAACAUUUUUUUUAUAAUUUACUUACUAGGUGCAAAUUCCUAUAUAAAUAAUUGAAAGACGAGAAGACCCUGAGAGUUUUUUGUAUAAUUAAUUAUAUUUUAUUUUAUUUUGUUGGGGCGACAUAUUAACAUAAGAUAUUAAAUUAUAAUACAUAUUUUAAACUUAAUAAAAAAAAUCAUAUAUAAUGGAAUAAUAUCAAUAAUAAGGAAACUACCUUAGGGAUAACAGCAUAAUUAUAUUAAUAGAUUGUGACCUCGAUGUUGGAUUAGGUAAUUUUUAUGUCAAAAAUAUAAAAAGUUAGUUCUGUUCGAACAAUUAUAACCUACGUGAUCUGAG